rnacentral:lncRNA from 1 species
GUUGCUCUCUGGUAGAGGCGUGCAGGUGUUAGCCACACCCUCUGAGCUGGGAUGAGCUGUGCUCCUGGUGGAAGCAAGGGAGCCCAGCCGAAGCCAUGGCCAGUACAGUGGUAGCAGUUGGACUGACCAUUGCUGCUGCAGGAUUUGCAGGCCGUUAUGUUUUGCAAGCCAUGAAGCAUAUGGAGCCUCAAGUAAAACAAGUUUUUCAAAGCCUACCAAAAUCUCCCUACUGCCAAUAAAGGGAAAAUAAGAGAUG